GGCUUACUGACACCCAAGUGUCUCCCGAAGGAUGGACUGGAAUUCCAAGUGAUUAUCUCCACCUCCCUCCCCCUAGGGUGGCUCGAGGAUGGAUGAAGGACAGAAGAUAGGAAAGAAGCCAUGUUGGGGAGAGGAGAUAGGGGGUGAGUGGAGAAGACUCAUCUGGAUGGAAUCGAAUCAUAGACUCAUUCAUUCAUUCAUUCAUUCGGUGAAUCAAGCACGUGCCUUGGCUGGGCGCUGAGGGAAGUAGUUGAAAUUGCAGAUUGAUUCAGGGAUGAAGAUGUGACCCAAGUCAGUCCAAUGAGAGUCGGCCUUGGAACUACAACUGGAAGGAUUGGCAAAGAGGCACAGACAUGGUCUGCUGGAGAAUGAAGCCCACACAGAAGAAAACAGGAGCAGUAGAGAAAUACAGGGUC